UUCCGGUUGAUCCUGCCAGAGGUUACUGCUAUCGGUGUUCGCCUAAGCCAUGCGAGUCAUAUGUUCUUCGUGAACAUGGCGUACUGCUCAGUAACACGUGGAUAACCUGCCCUUGGGUCCGGCAUAACCCCGGGAAACUGGGGAUAAUUCCGGAUAACGCAUAUAUGCUGGAAUGCUUUAUACGUCAAAUGGAUUCGUCUGCCCAAGGAUGGGUCUGCGGCCUAUCAGGUAGUAGUGGGUGUAAUGUACCUACUAGCCGACGACGGGUACGGGUUGUGAGAGCAAGAGCCCGGAGAUGGAUUCUGAGACAUGAAUCCAGGCCCUACGGGGCGCAGCAGGCGCGAAAACUUUACAAUGCGGGAAACCGUGAUAAGGGGACACCGAGUGCCAGCAUCAUAUGCUGGCUGUCCGGGUGUGUAAAAUACACCUGUUAGCAAGGGCCGGGCAAGACCGGUGCCAGCCGCCGCGGUAACACCGGCGGCCCGAGUGGUGAUCGUGAUUAUUGGGUCUAAAGGGUCCGUAGCCGGUUUGGUCAGUCCUCCGGGAAAUCUGACGGCUUAACCGUUAGGCUUUCGGAGGAUACUGCCAGGCUUGGAACCGGGAGAGGUAAGAGGUACUACAGGGGUAGGAGUGAAAUCUUGUAAUCCCUGUGGGACCACCUGUGGCGAAGGCGUCUUACCAGAACGGGUUCGACGGUGAGGGACGAAAGCUGGGGGCACGAACCGGAUUAGAUACCCGGGUAGUCCCAGCCGUAAACGAUGCUCGCUAGGUGUCAGGCAUGGCGCGACCGUGUCUGGUGCCGUAGGGAAGCCGUGAAGCGAGCCACCUGGGAAGUACGGCCGCAAGGCUGAAACUUAAAGGAAUUGGCGGGGGAGCACAACAACGGUUGGGGCUGCGGUUUAAUUGGAGUCAACGCCGGA
rnacentral:rRNA from 1 species